UACGUAGGGUCCGAGCGUUGUCCGGAGUUACUGGGCGUAAAGCGUGCGCAGGCGGUUCGCUGUGUCCGAUGUGAAAGCCCCGGGCUUAACCUGGGAAUGGCAUUGGAAACUGGCGAGCUGAGUGUGGCAGAGGGGGGUGGAAUUCCGCGUGUAGCAGUGAAAUGCGUAGAGAUGCGGAGGAACACCGAUGGCGAAGGCAGCCCCCUGGGUUAACACUGACGCUCAGGCACGAAAGCGUGGGGAGCAAACAGG
rnacentral:rRNA from 1 species